rnacentral:lncRNA from 1 species
CACCCUCAUCUUUGCUCAAAGCCUGUUCUCACAAUGAGAUGGGUCCUGACACUCAUCCAACAAGACAAUCUGGCUGACAAUCUUAGGUCCCCUUUCCCCUUUCCUUUUUUUAAAAUGAUUUUCUGAGGCAGGAUCUCACUAUGUAGGUCAAGAGGGUGUUGAACUCACUACGUAGUCCAGGCUGGCGUCGAAUUCAUGAUGAUUUUCCUGCCUCGGCCUUCUAAGUGCUGGGAUUACAGGCAUGUGCCACCACAUCUGACUUGCUAUAUUUUUCAUAUCACUCAUAGCCUAACAUAUACCAUAGAAUUUAUUUAUUCAUGUACUUAUGAUUUAAGUUCCCUCCAGGGAACUUUAAGUUCCCUCCAGGGAAGGCACAUUUACCUGUCAGGCCCAGAAGAGUAUUUGUACACAGCAAGCACUGGACACAUAUUUGUUGAAUGGAUGAAGAAAUGGAGAAAUGAAUGGCCCCUCCUCGGAAGGUCACACUCCGCCACCCCGAAGAGCAGCACUGGGCAGAUGACUGGCCUUGUUACACCUAGAAGCAAACUAUAUGCAACAGUGCUUUUUUUUCUUUUCUGUAAAUGUCUGGAAUGGAAAAGCCUUAUAUAUGAUUUCCUUGUAGAGACAGCCAGACACCAGGCAAAGGUCAGUUUCAGGGAAGAGCAUGCCAGAGAUCCCCACGACGCCACCCACUUGUCCUUUGCAGCCUCCAGCAGCCACCUAGUGCUAAGCCCUGCCUGGGUCUAA